GACGAACGCUGGCGGCGUGCUUAACACAUGCAAGUCGAACGAUGAAGCUGGAGCUUGCUCCAGUGGAUUAGUGGCGAACGGGUGAGUAACACGUGAGCAAUCUGCCCUUGACUCUGGGAUAACUGCGGGAAACUGUAGCUAAUACCGGAUACGACACCUUGGGGCAUCCCGGGGUGUGGAAAGAAUUUCGGUCAAGGAUGAGCUCGCGGCCUAUCAGCUUGUUGGUGAGGUAAAGGCUCACCAAGGCGACGACGGGUAGCCGGCCUGAGAGGGUGACCGGCCACACUGGAACUGAGACACGGUCCAGACUCCUACGGGAGGCAGCAGUGGGGAAUAUUGCACAAUGGGCGAAAGCCUGAUGCAGCAACGCCGCGUGAGGGAUGAAGGCCUUCGGGUUGUAAACCUCUUUUAGCAGGGAAGAAGCGAAAGUGACGGUACCAGCAGAAAAAGCACCGGCUAACUACGUGCCAGCCGCCGCCGUAA
rnacentral:rRNA from 1 species